GACGAACGCUGGCGGCGUGCUUAACACAUGCAAGUCGAACGCUGAAGCUCAGCUUUUGUUGGGUGGAUGAGUGGCGAACGGGUGAGUAACACGUGAGUAACCUGCCUCCUUCUUUGGGAUGACGCCCGGAAACGGGUGCUAAUACUGGAUAUUCACUGGUCUUCGCAUGGGGGUUGGUGGAAAGGGUUUUUCUGGUGGGGGAUGUGCUCGCGGCCUAUCAGCUUGUUGGUGGGGUGAUGGCCUACCCAGGCUUUGACGGGUAGCCGGCCUGAGCGGGUGACCGGUCACAUUGGGACUGAGAUACGGCCCAGACUCCUACGGGAGGCAGCAGUGGGGAAUAUGGCACAAUGGGCGCCAGCCUGAUGCAGCGACGCCGCGUGAGGGAUGGAGGCCUUCGGGUUGUGAACCUCUUUCGCUCAUGGUCAAGCCGCAACAAUGGUUGUGGUGAGGGUAGUGGGUAAAGAAGCGCCGGCUAACUACGUG
rnacentral:rRNA from 1 species